UGCUCUUUCACAUUGCACAUGCGUGAGCACCAGGCAGGCCACGAGGCACUUUAUGUGUCAGGGUCAACAGGUUGGCGUGUGGCUGUGAUGCGAAUCACCCUGAAAACCCAUUUGGGCUGCUCACCUCUGGCUGGGAGGCAGGCCCCCUGAGGGCCUCGGCGAGCAAAUGCAACCCCACACGAAGACAAGACAUUAAAGGGACUCCUGAGGACCCAGCAUUACUGACGGCCUAUUCAAGUCAGAGGAAAUCAAUAGCUCUCUAGAAAGGGCUUUGGAGAAGAAACAAGUGUCCAUGAAGAAAAAGGAAAAACACAUACUUGCUCUCCGUGAGUGAGGCUGACGUCUCAUCAGUGGCUGACAGGCCAGCACUCUGCUAAGCCAGCGAGGACUCUCCUGGGCCUCCCAGGACCUUUAUCUGGAAUCUGCGUGCUGGCGUUCGCCCCAGUGACCUCGUGUGGCUUGUGUCAUGAGCUGAUGAUACCUGAGUUCAGUCCCCCUUUGUUAAGGGCCUUCUAUAUGCUGUCCUGAGCGGGGCACUGAGAGAGGCUGCACUUGGCAGAGAGGCACAAGAGAGACCAUUUGGUGCUGACUCCAGUGACUGUGGCCCCCAAGGUUACACGAGAUACCGAGUGCCGCCUUCUUGUAGGCUGUUCCCCCUCACCCCCAAUUCACAUAUUGAAGUCCUAACCCCCAGUACCUAAGAAUGUGACUGGAUUUGGAGAUAAGACCUUUAAAGAGACAGGUACAGAGAAAAGACCAUGUGAAGAUAUAGGGAGAAGAUGGCCAUCUAUAAGCCAACGAGAGAGGCUUCGGGAGAAACCAACA